CUCCUGGCUGUGCCUGCAUUUCUGAGGAAGCAAGAAGGCACGGUCCUGUGUGAGGGGGGCAUCCUGCCCUGGGGACAGGGUUAGAUGUGAUUAUAACAGCAACUAACAUCUGCACAAGUCCUGAGGUGAUUCCAUGCAAGACUUUUGAACGUGAAAGGGAAGAAAGGGCACGUCCAGGUCCUGCUGCAGCACAGAAGACCCGUAAGAGGAAGAGGAGCAGGGGACCGUGACUGGGCGCCUCCAGCAGCAGGAUCUGAGCGCUGUUGCUGAGGAAGGCCAGCCACAGAGGGAAGGGGACAUCGGGACAGGAAGAGAGCCCUACCCACUCCCACCCCCAAAGCCCCAGACCAGUCCCCAGCCUCACUCCUCUUUCACCUCCGUCUCCACCAGAAGUCACCCCAGGCCACUCUUUCAUCCCUCUGCAUCCCUCCAAUGGACCCAAAUCCCACCCUGGCCCCCAGUCCUGACCCUCCCACAGGGCCCCCUGGGGCUCCCAGCUUGUGGCGGGCAGACUCCCUUCUACCUUCCCCUCUGUCAGGAGCAACUGGUCCCACGUGGAAGCCCCUCCUGAAG
ensembl:lncRNA